CUAUCCCCUUUCUCUAUCCAUGUGCAGGAGAGGCGCCGCCAUGGACCCCGACGCCCGAGCUCCUGGCCACCAAGCUCUGGUCACUGUUUAGUGCCACAUCCACCGGGAACGGUCGGAUGCGGUCAGUGAGCCUCCAGAUCCGGCCUUCCCAAAGACCCUCGUCUGCAGUCGCCGCGUCGUCCUUGACCAGCCGCUACCGCGCCCUGUCUCCCAUCGUGGAGGAGCAUGACGCUCGCGUGACCUGCCCCUCCUCGCCUUUGCCUGGGCCACUGCCUAGUCAUUCCUCGCAACCGCGCCACGCCCAGCUGCACGCUCCGACCUAGCUCCCUGCGACACUCCGACCCGCUCUACUAGUGGGCCCAUGAGGCUAGGUGAGCACGCCCCGCUAUCCAUCGCCAUGUGCGCAUUAUACUAUCUGACGCUCGCGAGUUUUGGCCCAUGUAGAUUUUUCCUGCUCGUGCGAAUUUCGUAAUUAUCCACAACAUUGCAUAUUUAAAAAAACUACCGCUAUUUUGAAUCAUUAAUAAUUAAAUAACCAUGCAUUGAAUUAAAAUGUUUUAUAUAUGUAAAAUGUGUACAAUUUUGUGUAGAUUAAUAGUAUCCACUUUCAUCCAUGUUUAAUUUUUUUUUAAAUUGUUGUUUGUAUAAAUAUGCAUAAAUGAAUGAUAAAUCGGUUUAAUUCAUAUCUAAAUAAUCGUGGGUGUGAUUUAAAUAAACUUUAUAUGCAAAAUUAUCUAUUCUUCGUGCUCUACAUGAUUGUGACAUUUACAUACAUAAUACCUUGUAUCUACAUGCUCAAAUCUCUGUCGCAAGUGCUUCAUGUAUACGUCUAAACUAUUAUUUUAUUCAAACUUGUGUGGACGGUUGCAUCUAGUUCGUAGGUAUUUUGCAUAUGGUUCCUUCGUGAGAGUUUUUCUAUGUGUUUUCUAUUCUGAUGCCAUGCCUCUAAUUGCCAUGUAGAUUAUCAUUAGCUUGUUCAUUUGUUGCUAUCAAAGUGCUAUCAUACUGAAAUUACUAAUCUAUUUUCGUAAAGUUCCAUUUUGUGAAGCUCGAAUCAAUCAAACCAUGCCUCUUUUGAAUGUGUGAAAUGAAGUGAUUUGUAGUAUGCUAUGACUAUUUGCUGUUAGUAGGUUUCCCAUGGCAUGUAUGUCAUGUUUGGCUAUAGUUUUCAUCAUGUGUACAUGCCAUGGAAAUGUUGUUGUUUGUAGGGUCAAAAUGUUUCUAAGUCUAAGAAUCUCAUUAUUUCAGGAUGCAUGUUGUAGGGAUGCUAGAUAUGAAUGUGUGUUUAAUUAGACCUUGCUAGAAUUGAAUGGAAUGAAAUGCAUCAUGCCUAGUACCACGCGGUAAACUUUCAUGUCAUUAUAUGACCUAUAGCACAUGUUUUUCUUGUUGUCAAUAUGCCGUCAUAAUAGAACUACUAUGUUAAAAACUGUUAUUUUCACUAAGGCUGAAACUGUGUUCAAGUAGCCAUUUUGUGAGAUCAUUUCCUAUGGAUCCAUGCUUGUAUUCAAUUUACCAUUAGGAGAUGAUUGUUGUGCAUCUUGUAAACUACUGCCCCAUAUCUUAUUUGUGCAUUUUAGAAUCUUGUAGGUGCGUGUUUUGGUGUAUAUAAAAUGCCACGUUGCUACUUUGGGAAGAUUAUCACUAUAUCUUGUAUUGGUCGUAAUUGUUGAACCGUUCCUCCGUUUUGAACAUGCCAUAUAUGAAAAUUGUCUAGAUUUUUAUAUAGUUUCAUAAUAUCUUGUUGUAUCCAUGAUUUAACAUGCUUGUGGUUGUCAUUUGCAUACAUUUUGCAUUCAUGACAUAUUAUCUUGUGUUGGUCAUAUCUUUUAGACCGUAACUCCGUUUUAGAUGAUUCAUAUAUGUAAAUCGACUAGAAUGACAUGUAGAAUCACAUGAUGUUAUUUGUUUCUCUCUUCAAUAAUAUAAAAAUGUGUUUAGUUCAUAUCUGGACCAAUUUGGAAAUUAAUAUAUGGGGUCAUUUUGGAAAUAAUAUAAGUUGUUUCUGGCCUCAUUUAAAAUGCCUAGAUAGUGUAGUUCAAUUAUGUUUCACCUCUUUCCAUGUUCAACAACAUUAAAUAUUGUCAAGUAAAUAAAUGAUAGUGAAAUAAAUAAUUCAAAUGUGGAGUUUCAUCAAUAUGCAACUCGUCGCAUAUUGAACUUCACUUAAUGUGUAGUAUUUAUUAUUGUGCUUGUCAUGCCUUGCAUAAUCGUAUGGACAUGCAUCAUAACUAUUUGCGCAUCAUGUCAUGCAUAUGUUGUGGUGUUUAUCAUGUGUUGAUUAUUUUUUCCUGGAUUGUUUUUUCUUGCUAGAGUUUCGAAACCGCUUCGGAAUGUGAGGAUUCGUCCGAGUACGUUGGUUCCUCUACUUCACGGAUUCGUUCUUAUUCCAAGAGGGAUCUGAGACAAGAUGAUCAUUGCCCUGGAUACCACUACUAUCAUUGCUAUGCUAGUUGUAUUGUUUCUAUCGCUCUGUCUUGCUGCCUACCACC
rnacentral:lncRNA from 1 species